rnacentral:lncRNA from 1 species
CAAGGGGUGUUGGGUGCAAUGGGUGCUAGGUGCAAUGGGUGCUGAUGUGCAAGGAGUUUGGAUUGCAAUGCAACAGCAUGGCUAUGCAAGGGGUGCAGAGGUGCAAGGUGUGUUGGGGUGCAAGGGGUGUUGGAUUGCAAUGCAACAGCACGGCCACGCAAUGGGUUCUGGGGUGCAAUGCAACAGCAUGGCCGUGCAAUGGGUGCUGGGUGCAAUGGGUGCUGAUAUGCAACGGGUGUUGGACUUCAAUGCAACAGCAUGGCCAUGAAAUAGGUGUUGGGGUGCUGGGUGCAAUGGGUGUAAUGCAGCACCGUGACUAUGCAAUGGGUGCAGGGUUGCAAGGGGUGCUGGGUGCAAUGGGUGCAGGGUUGCAAUGCACCAGCACAGCCGUGCAAUGGGCGCUGUUUUGCAAGGGGUGUUGGGUUACGAUGCAGCAGCACGGCCAUGCAACAGGUGCUGGGAUGCAACAAUUGCUGGUUUACAACGUUGUAGCACAGCUAUGCAGUGGGAUGCAGCGGUUGUUGGUGCACUGCAACAACGCGGCCAUGCAAUGGGUGCCAGAUGCAAUAGGUGCUGCAAUGACGACACCCAUCUUUUGGGGUGCAAUGGGUGCUGGGUGCAGUGGGUGUUGGGGUGCAAUGAGCACUGGCUGCUGUUGGUGCUGGGAUGCAAUGGGUGCUGUGCUGCAGUGGGUACUGGGAUGCAGCGGGUGCCGUGCUGCAAUGACACUGAGCAUCCAUGCAACAAACUUUCGGUGUGCAACAGCUGCUGGAAUGCAGCAAGUCCCGCGACGAGACAACACCACGCGCCCAUGCAACAACUUUUAUGGUGCAAUGCGUGACUGCAGCGACAGCUGCUGGGAUGCAACGAGUCCCGCUCUGCAACGCCCCCAUGUGCCCAUGCAACAACGUUUGGUGUGCAACGGGUGCCAGCUGCAGGGAUGCAAUGAACCCAGCGCUGCAACGCCCCUGUGCAUCCAUGCAACGCCUUUUGCAGUGCAAUGGGUGCCAGCUGCAGGGAUGCAACAAACCCCACGCUGCAACGCCC